rnacentral:misc_RNA from 1 species
UGUUGACAGCUUGAAGUAUUUGCUCCAAAAUGUUUUAAAUAAAUAAUGUCAGUCUUUCAUUUUCUUAAAAUGAGAUUGAUCACUAUGUUUAAAGACUGAAAAGUUCAUUGUGUUCUUAAGGUCAUUUGGUGCUACAAUAUUAAGACAAUGCCAUGAUCAGCUACUUAAAAUAGUUUCUCUUUAGGAAUAACCUAUAUAAGAGCCCUUAAACUCUCAAGAAAAACCUAUUAAGAAAAACCCUCAACUUUUGUUUUAACCUAUUCGGCCCUUGAAUUUUUUUCUUUGUAUCUAUUGGAUCUGAUUUUGUUUCACAUAUAUGCAUAAAAAGGUUAGCAUGGCAGUACAUGUCAUUAUGCCUCCUCAGUAUAUCAACAUUAAAAAUAAAAUCUCCA